rnacentral:rRNA from 1 species
GACGAACGCUGGCGGCGUGCCUAAUACAUGCAAGUCGAGCGAAUCAUUAGGAGCUUGCUCCUGGUGGUUAGCGGCGGACGGGUGAGUAACACGUGGGCGACCUGCCUGUAAGACUGGGAUAACACCGGGAAACCGGUGCUAAUACCGGAUAAUCCUUUCCCUCUCAUGAGGGAAAGCUGAAAGUCGGUUUCGGCUGACACUUACAGAUGGGCCCGCGGCGCAUUAGCUAGUUGGUGAGGUAACGGCUCACCAAGGCGACGAUGCGUAGCCGACCUGAGAGGGUGAUCGGCCACACUGGGACUGAGACACGGCCCAGACUCCUACGGGAGGCAGCAGUAGGGAAUCUUCCACAAUGGACGAAAGUCUGAUGGAGCAACGCCGCGUGAGCGAUGAAGGCCUUCGGGUCGUAAAGCUCUGUUGUUAGGGAAGAACAAGUACCGGAGUAACUGCCGGUACCUUGACGGUACCUAACCAGAAAGCCACGGCUAACUACGUGCCAGCCGCCGCAGUAAGAC